rfam:Caenorhabditis remanei strain PB4641 contig6.37, whole genome shotgun sequence.
AGUUUAUCCAGGAAAGCUAUCGGCCGAGUACUUAGAACCGAGCUGCCCUCGGAUAGACUCU